GUUGAAUUGUUUAAGGGAUUUUCAAAACCCUCUAACUGGAGAAGCAGGAUGAAGGCGAAAGAAUACAUGACUGAUCAUUGCUGGCUAACGUAAUCAGCUUCCUCUCUUCUGGAAAACUCGAUGACUCCUCACAGAACUCACAGAGGCCUGUGAGGAAGAAGGGCCUCAGGCUUCAGCUUCACUCGCUUCUCAGGAGUUUGCGUCUGGUCUCAGGUGCCACCUAUUUAGAGUGGCCAGCAGCUGAUAGUGGUUUAUAAACAUACAGGUAGGUCCUGGCCAUCAUAGCGUCAGGGUCCGGGAAGCAAGCAGGGCGGCUCAUGGACGAGGAGAGCAGUUUGGGUGUGCAAGACAAGGUCUGGAUUCAAGUCCUGCUCAGUACUUACCAGGGGGCCGUGGUCUCCUGCAAAGUGCUAAAGCCUCUCUCAAGUAUGAUGAAACAGCGCCACCGUGUGGUCUCGAGGCUUACCAUCAUUCACUCAUUUGCCUUUGGAUUUUUACGGAGCAUUGGUCAAUAAACAUCAGAAUAUGUGUAAAUGCAUAUUGAAAUAAUGGAAAUUGAGCUCUGAAAUCAAAUGGGAGAAAACAUUGAAAAUGUUAAAUAACCGAAUGGAAAUUGCCGCAGUAAUUCCAACCUUCAGCAACCAACACUCUGAUCAGUCAGCAACCAUCCGCAUCAAAGCAAGACCCUCCACCAGCAAAGAUUACAACUUGCAGAAGGCUCAGAUGAUCAUUGGCAUUUUUAAACAAUUAAGAAAUUUUAAAUUAAGGGUGUCCUGGAAUUAAUAAAACUCGAGGAGUGGGGCUGCGGCUCCUCUGUGGACUAAGUGUGUGGUAUCACUGCUUAGGUCAACAAGUGCCUGUCAGGGCCGGAAAUGCCCGUGGAGCAGAGGGCCUUUGAGUCGCGGGGAAAGACACCGUGGGCUGCACCUGAAGCUGCAUGUUUGUCUGGGGUUACAUGAGUUUAACAGAAGGAUUUUUCUACCGGAAAAGAACGAAGACGCAAGCCUUGGUUACCCCAUUUCAGAGGAGAUUUUAAAGAGGGAUCUGGAAAACUGUUUUUUCCUUUUUUUCACUCAUCAUCAUGUUACACAGUUUCUAAAGACCUGAUCUCAACUUUCCUCUCAGCACAGGCUAUAAUUUUUUUUGCUAAGACGAUCCUUUUCUGUCAUUCUCUUGAAUGUUUCUCUUCCUGGGUGACUGGGAGAAUUCCUUCAAAAGGAUUUCUGAGACUGGUGUUUCCCAAACAACAGAGAACAUCGUACCCCUAGAAAUGGAGGACCAAGUGGCUUUUGUGAUAAGCAAGACCUCACCUGCACUUCGCAGACACUCCCAGCAGAGGAAAAAUACCAAACAGAAAGGGAAAGUGGUCAUGGAACAGAUUCUGCUACCAAGAAAUCAGGGAAUAAAUGGCCAGGGAUGAGUUUCAUAAGACCUGAAUUAUACAAUUCAGAGAACAAAAUUCAUAAAUUUAUCUAGUUGUUUCCUGACAAUUUCAUUCGAUCUGCCUAAGUUAGCUACCCCAUAGUUCACCUAGAAAUGUUUCCUAGUUCCCUUACCUAUUGGUGCAUAAAAGCUGCUUUCACAUGUCUCCAGUUUCCAACCUACAUAUCAGCCAGUGAUUUGCAUAAUCCUUAAACCCCCACCCCCAUUCCUUUUUUCAGCCACCUAAUGCAAACAAGAUCUGGCUCAGGCUUCCCUAAACUAAUCCACGGAACACCAUUUAGAAGGGAGACUAUUCCGUGUAAGUUGGCACGGCCGAAUGAGAUCUCUAUUGUAUAAGGGGCAGUCCCAGUAGAAAGACAUUAAUGAAUAUGCCAGUGGGGAGAGCCUCAGCUUCCCAGUUGCUUGCUGGACCCUAAAGCUGUAAGAACUCUGUGAAACUUGAAUGUUUCUUUUUUUAACCAAGGUAAGGAAUUUAAUGCCACUGCCCUGUCUGAAUCCUUACAGCUCAUCAAGACCCAAGUCAUAAACAACAACUUCAGGAAGAAUGAAGCCUAGCCUGAGCCUCCCUCCAAAUUCUCCUUUUCCCACUCACUGCUUCACACUUGAACUAACCAGUCUGUCCUCUAAACUCGAAUAUGCUUUUCUGGUAAUAUUUUAUGACCCCUACCUUGCCCAUAAAAAUGUAAGUUCUUUAGAGGCUGAGACUGUGUUUAAGCAUCUUUGCAAAACCCGCAGCUUGUUAGCACAAAUAAUAAAUGCUUCUUGAAUAAAUACAUAUGUUUUUAAAAAUAACUUGUUAUUUUAAAACAGUUAUUUAGUGCUGUUUUUCCCCAGUAUCUCCAGGUUUCAGCUCACUCUUUGUAUUCUCCCUCCAAAACCCCUCCCCUCUCACCUUUCAGAUCUGCUGAGACCAGCGCUACUGAACAGACACGAUGGAAAUGUUCCUUAUCUAUGUGGGCCCAUAUGCUAGCCUCUGACCUCAUGUAGUUAUUGAGCGCUUGAAAUGUGGAUAGUGGAACUCAUAACUGAUUUUUAAAUUUUAUUUUAUCUUCAUGUAUUUAAAACUUAACCUAGCCACAGGUAGCCACUAGGCUACUGUAUUGAAGAGCACAGGACCUUGACUCUUCUGAGAAGUCUUGCUGAAGAACCACUCUAGA
rnacentral:lncRNA from 1 species